AUAUCAAUAAGCGGAGGAAAAGAAACCAACAGGGAUUGCCUCAGUAACGGCGAGUGAAGCGGCAGCAGCUCAAAUUUGAAAUCUGGCCCUUUCAGGGCCCGAGUUGUAAUUUGUAGAGGAUGCUUCGGCUUGGGCCCCGGUCUAAGUUCCUUGGAACAGGACGUCACAGAGGGUGAGAAUCCCGUACGUGGCCGGCGGUGCUCGCCAUGUGAAGCUCCUUCGACGAGUCGAGUUGUUUGGGAAUGCAGCUCUAAAUGGGAGGUAAAUUUCUUCUAAAGCUAAAUACCGGCCAGAGACCGAUAGCGCACAAGUAGAGUGAUCGAAAGAUGAAAAGCACUUUGGAAAGAGAGUCAAAAAGUACGUGAAAUUGUUGAAAGGGAAGCGCUUGCAACCAGACCUGACCGCGGUCGUUCAUCCGGGCUCCUGCCCGGUGCACUCCUCCGCGGCCAGGCCAGCAUCAGUUCUGGCGGUCGGAUAAAGGCGGCGGGAAUGUGGCUCCUCCAGGGGAGUGUUAUAGCCCGCCGUGUCAUGCGGCCAGCCGGGACUGAGGUCCGCGCUUCGGCUAGGAUGCUGGCGUAAUGGUUGUAAGCGGCCCGUCUUGAAACACGGACCAAGGAGUCUAACAUCUGUGCGAGUGUUUGGGUGUCAAGCCCGGGCGCGUAAUGAAAGUGAACGGAGGCGGGAACCCUCGGGUGCACCGUCGACCGAUCCUGAUGUCUUCGGAUGGAUUUGAGUAAGAGCAUGGCUGUUGGGACCCGAAAGAUGGUGAACUAUGCCUGAAUAGGGUGAAGCCAGAGGAAACUCUGGUGGAGGCUCGCAGCGGUUCUGACGUGCAAAUCGAUCGUCAAAUUUGGGCAUAGGGGCGAAAGACUAAUCGAACUAUCUAGUAGCUGGUUCCUGCCGAAGUUUCCCUCAGGAUAGCAGUAACGUUUUCAGUUUUAUGAGGUAAAGCGAAUGAUUAGAGGCAUGGGGGUUGAAACAACCUUCACCUAUUCUCAAACUUUAAAUAUGUAAGAAGUCC
rnacentral:rRNA from 1 species